rnacentral:antisense_RNA from 1 species
CUUGAUGGAGCCCAGCCACAGCGGCUCGCCCGAACCCCGGUCCUGCCCAUAGGUCGCCAACAACGCCUGCGCCUC